CUUCCUUUCCUCCCGCCGAAGCCGCUGCCGCCGCCGCUGCCGCCGCCGCCGCCGCCGCUGCCGCCGCCGCCGCCCGGGCUGCGCUGACGCCGGAGUCGUGCAGGAUGAGAUCCAGACUAUCUCUACUGCAGACUGCCAGGGCCUAGAAACUCCGUCUUCAGGGCAAAGGAACUCCAAAGGUAGGCUCAUCCUCCUCAGGCCACCCUGCUGACACAGACUUCGGAGGACCUCUCGGGAACCUUCACCGAGGAGUCAGCGAGAGCCAGGCCACACGUGGGCGCCUCCGCGUUCUGCAAGCUGGAAACAUCUUGAAAGCCUCUCUGGACCUUGGUGUAAAAGAGGUGUCCUCAAGCAUCGCAAGGCGCCGCCGCUGGAGGGUUUCCUGUUUCUGGGCUUCAAUUUGUCUUUUCCAGGGUAGCCAGAGGCAGCUUUUGAACUAGAAAUACCAGCGCCCUCAGGCAGGUCUGGGCACUAAAACGUGUGAGCACGUUCCCCCUCCAAACCACAUCCUGCUUGCUCUCUAAUAACUACCAACCCUAAAUGAUCGGGUGCAAAGGACAAUUUGUCGGGGAAGGACAAGUCGGGAGGAUGUGAAGGUGUUUCCAGGUUGUGUUCAUUUGCAUGAUCUCUAGGCCCAAAAGUAAGUCCUCGGCAACAUUUCUCUCUCACCUUAGGGUGGAACACCCGGCCUGCAUGCACCCGCUCUUCUUGAAUGGGGAGAGCUAUGUGGAUCUCUCGCGUUGCCUUUCACUAGACUAUUUUUGCUCAGAAUGCCUUUAAAAGAAAACUUUAAGGUGACAAAAGACAAGGAGAAAAAUGAUGGCAGAAACAGAGAAAAGAGGGAUGAGUUGAGCAGCUAGGAAGCAAGCUCUGCGUCCUAGGUGACUAAGAUAAAAAUCUGAGGGAGGGGGGUGUAAAGAAAGACUCGAGGACGACGUGGUGGAAGGGUGGGUUGGGGGGGUUACCAGGCUGCAGGACCAAGCCAGAAAGCCCAGCAGGGGGGACCCGGGAGCUAUUCCCAACAGGUGACUUCUGCCCUGGAAGGGGAUGCUGGCCCUCGGCUUCCCGUAGGGUCCUCGCGUCGAUUUACUAAUAGUGGGAUUGUUAAGUGGCAGCGAGGCGUUUCCGAUUCACCCUGGGCAGCCCGGGGAGGAGAAGUGCAGAGGGUUCCCCAUGACUUCUCCUCCCCAACCCACCCUCUUCUUAAGGAAACCUGACCAAGUAAUAAAUAAGACAAUCCGAAAAGCCA